CGCUGGCGGCGUGCUUAACACAUGCAAGUCGAGCGGAAAGGCCCUUCGGGGUACUCGAGCGGCGAACGGGUGAGUAACACGUGAGCAACCUGCCCUUGGCUUUGGGAUAACCCUCGGAAACGGGGGCUAAUACCGGAUAUGACCUGUGACCGCAUGGUUGUGGGUGGAAAGUUUUUCGGCCAGGGAUGGGCUCGCGGCCUAUCAGCUUGUUGGUGGGGUGAUGGCCUACCAAGGCGACGACGGGUAGCCGGCCUGAGAGGGCGACCGGCCACACUGGGACUGAGACACGGCCCAGACUCCUACGGGAGGCAGCAGUGGGGAAUAUUGCACAAUGGGCGAAAGCCUGAUGCAGCGACGCCGCGUGAGGGAUGACGGCCUUCGGGUUGUAAACCUCUUUCAGCAGGGACGAAGCGCAAGUGACGGUACCUGCAGAAGAAGCGCCGGCC
rnacentral:rRNA from 1 species